CAGCAGGAGUUCAAUAGGAGUACAGGAGUGUGCAGGAGUAAUGCAGGAUGUGAUCACAUGGAAUAAAGUCUUGAGAUCGAGAAGCAAUGGCCAGAAAUCUCUGGAGAUCUAUGAUUAGGUUUAGCAUAUCAUCUAUUUGCCUCACUUAUUUGAAAUGAAAGAGACAAAGACAGAGACAGACAGAGACAGAGCAACACAGAGAGAACAAGAGCAGGGGAGGGAAAAAGGAAGAGAGAGAGAGAGAGAGAGAGAGAGAGAGAGAGAGAUUGUUCAGAAACAUGGAAGAAGAAGAGAGAAGAAAGGACGUGGAAUGUUAUGAAUAACCAUCACACUUUCCCUAGAAUACAAAGUCCAUGAAGAUAAGUUAAAUCUCAUCUUCUCUACAAGAUCAGCAGUGAUUAUUCAGGCCCAAGUCCAAGUAAAACUGACAAUAAAAGGAAAUUUAAACUGCUGGAAGAGCUGUGGGAAUAUAGGUACAUUAAUAAACUCCUUUGGAUCUCAUCCUACAAUUGUUAUAAUAUUCUAUAAAUGCUAUACU